rnacentral:lncRNA from 1 species
UUGGUGUUGGUGUUGGUGUUGGUGAUGGUGAUGGUGGUGUUGGUAUUGGUUUUGGUGAUGGUUGUGGUGUUGGUAUUGGUGGUAUUAGUGGUAUUGGUGUUAGUGGUGUUGGUAUUGGUGGUGUUGGUGGUGGUGUUGGUAUUAUUGGUGUUGCUGUUGGUGUUGCUGUUGGUUUUAUUAUUGUUACUGGUGUUGGUGGUGUUGGUAGUGGUGUCGUGUUGGUGGUAUUGGUAGAGGUAUUGGUGGUGGUGUUGGUGGUGUUGUUAUUAGUGGUAUUAACAGUAUUGAUGUUGGUGGUCC